rnacentral:rRNA from 1 species
CCUCUGGAAACGGAGAGUAAAACCGGAUGAGCCCUUCGGGGGAAAGAUUUAUCGGGAAAGGAUUAGCCCGCGUUAAAUUAGGUAGUUGGUGGGGUAAUGGCCUACCAAGCCUACUAUCUAUAGCUGGUUUUAGAGGAUGAUCAGCAACACUGGGACUGAGACACGGCCCAGACUCCUACGGGAGGCAGCAGUGGGGAAUCUUGGACAAUGGGGGCAACCCUGAUCCAGCCAUGCCGCGUGAGUGAUGAAGGCCUUAGGGUCGUAAAGCUCUUUCGCCUGUGAAGAUAAUGACGGUAGCAGGUAAAGAAACCCCGGCUAACUCCGUGCCAUCAUCCGCGGUAAUACGGAGGGGGUUAGCGUUGUUCGGAAUUACUGGGCGUAAAGCGCACGUAGGCGGACUGGAAAGUUGGGGGUGAAAUCCCAGGGCUCAACCCUGGAACUGCCUCCAAAACUAUCAGUCUAGAGUUCGAGAGAGGUGAGUGGAAUUCCGAGUGUAGAGGUGAAAUUCGUAUAUAUUCGGAGGAACACCAGUGGCGAAGGCGGCUCACUGGCUCGAUACUGACGCUGAGGUGCGAAAGUGUGGGGAGCAAACAGGAUUAUAUACCCUGGUAGUCCACACCGUAAACGAUGAAUGCCUCUCGUCGGGUAGCAUGCUAUUCGGUGACACACCUAACGUAUUAAGCAUUCCGUCUGGGAGAGUACGG